rnacentral:rRNA from 1 species
UACGUAGGGACCAAGCGUUGUUCGGAUUUACUGGGCGUAAAGGGCGCGUAGGCGGCAUGACAAGUCACUUGUGAAAUCUCUGGGCUUAACCCAGAACGGCCAAGUGAUACUGUCACGCUAGAGUGCGGAAGGGGCAAUCGGAAUUCUUGGUGUAGCGGUGAAAUGCGCAGAUAUCAGGAAGAACACCCGUGGCGAAGGCGGUUCUCUGGGACGGUACUGACGCUGAGACGCGAAAGCGUGGGGAGCGAACAGG